UCAAUUGCGCAUGCGCAUUGCUUUCGCCUUUUACCGCGCGGUGACCUGCUCCUGUCAAAGUGAGGAACAUCUUUCAUCUCCGCAGUAAUAUAUUCGGCAAAGUUGAAAGUAAGACAAACGAAGAAUGAAUCGAGCCUUCACUCAGACCCUGAUGAGACCCAAUCUCCCUUUGAGGAGACCUGCGACUGGACCGAGUUCACUUACUCCUAGAGGCCCAGCACCAACAUUUCACGAGUUCGCUCAAGAAAAUCUGCUAGCAAGUGACAUGCUAGAUGGUCCUAUGGGGGAUGCUGUUCGAAAGGAGAAUGUGAUUUCCGCAAAAAAUAGUCAGAAUUGUGGAGACUUUUUGUCUCCCCACCAGACAGCAGGGUCUAUGGUGGGCCCACUGGUAAAGCUGUGCAAUUACUGCAGUC